rnacentral:snRNA from 1 species
AUCCUCUCUGGCCUCUUUUGGCUAAGAUCAUGUGUAGUAUCUGUUCUUAACACUGUAAGAAGUGUUAGUGGCCUACGGGUCAAUUCUUCUUGCGAGAUUUUUCUGAGCCCGUGGCACCUCUGGGGCUUGCUCCACGUGCUUCACACGAUGUCGUUGCCACUGCACUACAGGCUUCUGAUGUCAGGGUAC